rnacentral:snRNA from 1 species
AUACUUACUUGGCAGGGGAGAUACCAUGAUCACAAAGGUGGUUUCCCCACGUGAGGCUUAUCCAUUGCACUCCAGAUGUGCUGACCCCUGCGAUUUCCCCAAAUGUGGGAAACGCGACUGCAUAAUUUGUGGUAGUGGGGGACUGCAUUUGCACUAAAAAAAAAGUUACAGACUUUUA